rnacentral:rRNA from 1 species
UACGUAGGGUGCAAGCGUUGUCCGGAAUUAUUGGGCGUAAAGAGCGCGUAGGCGGCUUGGCAAGUGGAUGGUGAAAUCCCUCGGCUUAACCGAGGAACUGCCGUCCAAACUGCUUCGCUUGAGACCGGGAGAGGUGAGUGGAAUUCCCAGUGUAGCGGUGAAAUGCGUAGAUAUUGGGAGGAACACCAGUGGCGAAGGCGGCUCACUGGACCGGUACUGACGCUGAUGCGCGAAAGCGUGGGGAGCAAACGGG